GAGAAAUAUCACUGAAAAUAAAAAGCAAGGGGAAGAGAUGGAGAACAGACUGGAAGAGUCGCAAACCAGAGAAUCGAGAGAGACACUGAAACUUAGCAGCAUGGAGAUUUUAAAACCAAAUCUCUUUCAUGAUUCAGUCAAACCUGCAGUCUUGUUCUCAUUUAUCAGAGACAGCUCAAGAAGAGAAAAUGUGGGAGAUUUUUUUCAUUAUUAUCUUAAACUGCAGGCUUCACAUCCCUGCAACCCUUAAAAAAAGGAAGGAUGGAAAUCUUCAACUCAUACUGAAUAUAAUUUAUCAUCAUUAUUACCUUUAUUAAAAUGGCA